GGUGAGCGUAACGUCUCGCUGUCACCUGAGUGGGGGUCGUCCGUUGGUGGCAGGAGAAUCGCGCUU
rnacentral:SRP_RNA from 2 species